rnacentral:rRNA from 1 species
UCUGUAGGUGGCCAACUAAGUCAUACGUGAAAUCCCUCAGCUUAACUGGGGAACUGCGUCUGAUACUGGUUGGCUUGAGUGCAGGAGAGGAACGCGGAAUUCCAGGUGUAGCGGUGAAAUGCGUAGAUAUCUGGAGGAACACCGGUGGCGAAAGCGGGUCUCUGGACGACAUCUGACGCUGAGGCAAGCCAGGGGAGCAAACG